rnacentral:rRNA from 1 species
GAGCUUGCUCCCGGAUGUUAGCGGCGGACGGGUGAGUAACACGUGGGUAACCUGCCUGUAAGACUGGGAUAACUCCGGGAAACCGGAGCUAAUACCGGAUAGUUCCUUGAACCGCAUGGUUCAAGGAUGAAAGACGGUUUCGGCUGUCACUUACAGAUGGACCCGCGGCGCAUUAGCUAGUUGGUGGGGUAAUGGCUCACCAAGGCGACGAUGCGUAGCCGACCUGAGAGGGUGAUCGGCCACACUGGGACUGAGACACGGCCCAGACUCCUACGGGAGGCAGCAGUAGGGAAUCUUCCGCAAUGGACGAAAGUCUGACGGAGCAACGCCGCGUGAGUGAUGAAGGUUUUCGGAUCGUAAAGCUCUGUUGUUAGGGAAGAACAAGUGCGAGAGUAACUGCUCGCACCUUGACGGUACCUAACCAGAAAGCCACGGCUAACUACGUGCCAGCAGCCGCGGUAAUACGUAGGUGGCAAGCGUUGUCCGGAAUUAUUGGGCGUAAAGGGCUCGCAGGCGGUUUCUUAAGUCUGAUGUGAAAGCCCCCGGCUCAACCGGGGAGGGUCAUUGGAAACUGGGAAACUUGAGUGCAGAAGAGGAGAGUGGAAUUCCACGUGUAGCGGUGAAAUGCGUAGAGAUGUGGAGGAACACCAGUGGCGAAGGCGACUCUCUGGUCUGUAACUGACGCUGAGGAGCGAAAGCGUGGGGAGCGAACAGGAUUAGAUACCCUGGUAGUCCACGCCGUAAACGAUGAGUGCUAAGUGUUAGGGGGUUUCCGCCCCUUAGUGCUGCAGCUAACGCAUUAAGCACUCCGCCUGGGGAGUACGGUCGCAAGACUGAAACUCAAAGGAAUUGACGGGGGCCCGCACAAGCGGUGGAGCAUGUGGUUUAAUUCGAAGCAACGCGAAGAACCUUACCAGGUCUUGACAUCCUCUGACAACCCUAGAGAUAGGGCUUUCCCUUCGGGGACAGAGUGACAGGUGGUGCAUGGUUGUCGUCAGCUCGUGUCGUGAGAUGUUGGGUUAAGUCCCGCAACGAGCGCAACCCUUGAUCUUAGUUGCCAGCAUUUAGUUGGGCACUCUAAGGUGACUGCCGGUGACAAACCGGAGGAAGGUGGGGAUGACGUCAAAUCAUCAUGCCCCUUAUGACCUGGGCUACACACGUGCUACAAUGGACAGAACAAAGGGCUGCAAGACCGCAAGGUUUAGCCAAUCCCAUAAAUCUGUUCUCAGUUCGGAUCGCAGUCUGCAACUCGACUGCGUGAAGCUGGAAUCGCUAGUAAU